UUUAUAUUUAAGUGAAUUAGAAGCUUAUUUGAUGACCAAAGAAAAAGAAUUAACAUUAAAUCUAAUAUUUUCAAAAUUAAACACAAAUCUUAAACUGAAAUUUAAAGUUUAAUAUUUCUUAUAAUUUAGUUCCAAACUUAAAUUUAUACUUCAAACACUAUAUUCCAAACCAUACCCUAUAACCAUAAACCUUAUACCUCAAAUCAUAAAUUUCAAACACCAAAUUUAACAUUUUCAAAUUUAAUCACCAAAAGUUAAACAUAAACUACUAAUCUAAAAUUUUUAAAAAGUUAUUCCCAAAUUUUACUCUAAACCCCCAAACUAAUUCUCCAAAUUAACCUUAUAUAAAAAAAAUUAACUUUAUAUCAUAAAACACUAAUUAAAUAACUUUAUAAAAUUAUAUUAAAUCAAGUUGUGUUAUUAUUAACCCAAACCUAAACCCAUAUUCUAAAUUUAGGACUUUUCAAGUUUAUAUUUUAAAUUAGUUUUAAAAAAAUUUAAACUCAUGCUAAAAUCUAUACCUCAUUACCUAUUUUCUUUAUUCCAAAUCUUCAAUCAUAAAUAUCUUUCAACUUUAAACUUUUAAUUAUCAAACCCAAAUUCUAAUAUAUUUUAGUUGCAAUUCUAUCGAAUCAUAAACAACAAAACCAUUAAUAUAAUCCUAAACUAUGAAAUCUAAUAGUUUCUAUUAAAGAAAUAGAAUGCUUAAUUCUUAUUGGUCCAUCUUGGAAUGGUGUGGAUCACCAUUAUCUAAUCCUAACCAUCGAUAAUAUUUGAUCCAACAGAUCAGAUUGAUUUGGUUUUGUUUAACUCUUUCUUCACUUCUCCCCUCACAAACUCCAUCGUCACCUCAUCUCAUCUACAUCUCUAUUCCACUUCACGAGCUACUUUUUCUUCUGUUCUUCUUCUCACGAACUCCGUCGCCACCCUCCACCUCGUCACCUUCUUGUCUCCUCCUCAUCACCUCCACUCCUCGUCUCCUCCUGUAAGAAGAUGAUAUGGUGGUUGUUGGAUUUGCUGGAAGUAGAGUAGAAGACCACCACUAUUUGUGGCAGAUGUGGUGGUCGUUGGAUUCACGUCACACGGGUUGAGGCUGGAAGAGGAAGAAGAAGAUCUGUGAGAUCCGGUGAGGUCGAGGAGGCGGCUUCAAGCUUGAAGAUUAGGUUUAGUUUUUUUUUUCUGGGUUUAUUUUUUUUUUAAAUUCUGGUUUAGUCUGUAAACCGGAUUUUAAUUGUAAACCGAACUUUAAUUUAUAUUAAAAAUAUUUUAUUUUAAUUA